rnacentral:tRNA from 1 species
GGGCAGAUACUCAAGCGGUCAACGAGGGCAGACUGUAAAUCUGCUGUGCUUGCACUACGGAGGUUCGAAUCCUUCUCUGCCCACCA